rnacentral:lncRNA from 1 species
CAAACGAACUCCAAUUCAGGCAAUUAUACGAACCAUAAUGCAUGAAAUGAAACUGCGUCGUAAAUUAGAAAAGAUGAAAAUCAUUUUUUAAAUGAAAAACUCAACUAGUUUUUUUAACAUGCAUCCUGACGUUUUCGUACUGUAAUUAUAUGAAACUUCUGUACAGACUGCGACUGCUUGCAACAACUACAUCAUUCAUAAUGCUUCUAACAUUUACAUAAUCAAUUGAUUCAGUAUAUAACAGAUACAGUUGCCAUCUAACAACUUCCAUGCAUCAUAUUCAUAUUGUCUUCACUGAACUAUUCUUGCAGGAAUCAAACUAACAGAAGACAAAUUCCAUUGGCAAGGAUAAAACACCAGGUGAUUCCAGUACUCCAAUGGUUAUGUGAAGAUGGAUUAUCAAGAGCUCCCGGUCAAGUAGCAAUUGCUCCUACCCGAGCUCCCAAUAACACAAGGCACAUCACGAACGAGAAACUUCAUUGUGUGACCGCCAACAAAAUCCAAAAUUUCAAGACAUUCCUGCAAGUCGAAGUCGUUUACCAACAUCACCCAUUCCUCUUCAUCAUCAAGAUACUCGAGUCGGAAUUGUUGGAAUAUAGUGGUUUUAAC